AACGAACGCUGGCGGCGUGCCUAACACAUGCAAGUCGAGCGGGAAAGUUCCCUUCGGGGAGCGAGUACAGCGGCGAACGGGUGAGUAACACGUAGGUAACCUACCCUGGAGACUGGGAUAACCUGCCGAAAGGCGGGCUAAUACCAGAUAAGACCACGGGGGCUGCGGCUCCUGAGGCAAAAGGUGGCCUCUGCUCGCAUGCUACUGUUCCGGGAUGGGCCUGGGCGCCAUUAGCUAGUUGGGGAGGUAACGGCUCACCAAGGCAGAGAUGGGUAGCUGGUCUGAGAGGAUGGCCAGCCACACUGGGACUGAGACACGGCCCAGACUCCUACGGGAGGCAGCAGUGGGGAAUAUUGCGCAAUGGGCGAAAGCCUGACGCAGCGACGCCGCGUGGGUGAUGAAGGCCUUCGGGUCGUAAAGCCCUGUCAAGAGGGAAGAAAUCUCGCUGACCUAACACGUCGGCGAUCUGACGGUACCUCUGAAGGAAGCACCGGCUAACUCCGUGCCAGCCGCCGCGGUAA
rnacentral:rRNA from 1 species